AUACUUACCUGGACGGGGUCAAUGGGUGAUCAAGAAAGCCCAAGGCCUAGGUUGGUGACCUCCAUUGCACUUUGGAGGGGUGCCUGCCCACCUAACAUCUCCCCAAGUGGGAGAGUGUACGUCAUAAUUUGUGGUAAUGGGGGUACGCGUUCGCGCGGCCCCUAC
rnacentral:snRNA from 1 species